rnacentral:rRNA from 1 species
GAUGAACGCUAGCGGCAGGCUUAAUACAUGCAAGUCGAGGGGUAACAUGGUAGCAAUACUGAUGACGACCGGCAAACGGGUGCGGAACACGUACAGAACCUUCCUUUAAGCGGGGGAUAGCCCGGGGAAACCCGGAUUAAUACCCCAUAGUAUAUUAGAGUGGCAUCACUUUGAUAUUAAAGAUUUAUCACUUAAUGAUGGGUGUGCGUCUGAUUAGGUAGUUGGCGGGUAGG